GAGUUUGAUCAUGGCUCAGAGUGAACGCUGGCGGCGUGCCUAAUACAUGCAAGUCGAACGGAGAUUAAGUAGCUUGCUAUUUAAUCUUAGUGGCGCACGGGUGAGUAAUAUAUAGCUAAUCUGCCCUACACUAGAGGACAACAGUUGGAAACGACUGCUAAUACUCUAUACUCCUUCUUUACAUAAGUUAAGUCGGGAAAGUUUUUCGGUGUAGGAUGAGGCUAUAUCGUAUCAGCUAGUUGGUAGGGUAACGGCCUACCAAGGCUAUGACGCGUAACUGGUCUGAGAGGAUGAUCAGUCACACUGGAACUGAGACACGGUCCAGACUCCUACGGGAGGCAGCAGUAGGGAAUAUUGCUCAAUGGGGGAAACCCUGAAGCAGCAACGCCGCGUGGAGGAUGACACUUUUCGGAGCGUAAACUCCUUUUCUUGGGAAAGAAUUAUGACGGUACCCAAGGAAUAAGCACCGGCUAACUCCGUGCCAGCAGCCGCGAUAAUACGGAGGGUGCAAGCGUUACUCGGAAUCACUGGGCGUAAAGGACGCGUAGGCGGAUUAUCAAGUCUCUUGUGAAAUCUAACGGCUUAACCGUUAAACUGCUUGGGAAACUGAUAAUCUAGAGUAAGGGAGAGGCAGAUGGAAUUCUUGGUGUAGGGGUAAAAUCCGUAGAGAUCAAGAAGAAUACCCAUUGCGAAAGCGAUCUGCUGGAACUUAACUGACGCUAAUGCGUGAAAGCGUGGGGAGCAAACAGGAUUAGAUACCGUGGUAGUCCACGCCAUAAACGAUGUAUACUAGUUGUUGCUUCGCUAGUCGAGGCAGUAAUGCACCUAACGGAUUAAGUAUACCGCCUGGGGAGUACGGUCGCAGGAUUAAAACUCAAAGGAUAUAGACGGGGACCCGCACAAGCGGUGGAGCAUGUGGUUUAAUUCGAAGAUACGCGAAGACCCUUACCCGGACUUGAUAUCUAACAAAUCAUCCAGAGAUGGAAGAGUGUCUGCUCGCAGAAAUGUUAAGACAGGUGCUGCACGGCUGUCGUCAGCUCGUGUCGUGAGAUGUUGGGUUAAGUCCCGCAACGAGCGCAACCCACGUCAUUAGCUGCUAACGGUUCGGCCGAGCACUCUAAUGAGACUGCCUUCGUAAGGAGGAGGAAGGUGUGGACGACGUCAAGUCAUCAUGGCCCUUAUGUCCGGGGCGACACACGUGCUACAAUGGCGUAUACAAUAAGACGCAAUAUCGCGAGAUGGAGCAAAUCUAUAAAAUACGUCCCAGUUCGGAUUGGAGUCUGCAACUCGACUCCAUGAAGCCGGAAUCGCUAGUAAUCGUAGAUCAGCCAUGCUACGGUGAAUACGUUCCCGGGUCUUGUACACACCGCCCGUC
rnacentral:rRNA from 1 species